UAUUUGUACAACAGGUUUAAUUUUUAGGAUUGAGUAUUGCACAAAUUGUAUGCAAUUUUUUUUGUAAUUUCGAAUACCAUUCAGAUUCGGAUUCGAUCUAGUCAGUGGCUGUAGAAGCAGCAGCUGAAUCUGUGGAAGACAUACUGCCGAUCUUCUGCAAAGGAACGUGAGUAACAAUGUUGGCACAUGUCUGGUUUUAUCCAUCAAACUCUUGAUCGUUCGCUAUGUUAUCUUCCAUAGAUGCUAGAUUUACCAAUAGAUCUUGCAUUUUAAUAUAGCAGACAUACCACAGUGUUAUUAUUUCACCAGAUAACUAGAGACGUCAACAAAUGGCGCUUACGUCACUUUUCAGAAUCUUAGCAGCACGGUGGUAAGUUAAAAAGUGUGUUUAUGUUAAUAUAUUUUAAAUCAUACAUUUUGCAAAAGUUGUUCAACUAGCUUAAAGCAUCUAUUUGCAUCAGAAUUAUGAUAUUAUCUGUAUAUAGCUAAAGAUAAAUCAAGAAAAUUUGUCCAUUAUCUCUUAUAUAUUGUUUAUUUACCUUCAUUAUUGACAACUUCAAAUUUCUCAAAAUUACUCAAUAUUGGAAAAGAAUUUUGUUAAUUUCGUUAAUUUUAUACAGCUUUAUAACUUAGUAUUUACAGACGAGAGGCAUAAAUAACAUGAAAUAAUUUAUCAACUUCAUAUGAUGGAACAGACUGCCUGUAAUCGCAUAUCAGCACCUUAUUUGCUGAGUACCCAAUCCAAGUGGAAUUGAUAUGCGAUUAAAAGGCAGUAGAGUCAAUUUCAUCUUAAGCACUCAAUCUCGAAGAACUAAUCUGUGCAUAACGUUUACUAAAUAGUUAUGGUAUUAUUUUGAUUAUUUAUAGAUACUUUCUGCACUGGAAAAAUCGCAAAGAAAUCUAGAAAUAAAAAUUAAAAAAAAAGAUCAACCGGAAAAAGAAGUUGGAGAUAAGGAAGAAACAGAUAUCAUUGAAAUACAAAUGAUCGUUCGAAAUCUGCUCGAAAUGGCAGCAAAAAUUAUGAAUCGGUUGAACCAAAUGUCCAUAAGAAACAAAAAUAAUGUGAGAGAGAAGCUGGAAAGUAUAAUCAGCGAAAUUCGAAGAGCGUCAAAAAAAUAUAAAUAAACUAAUAUUUCCAAUAAAUAAAACAAUUAUGUUUUCAAUAAAUCUUCACUUUUCAAGUACUUUUUCUGAAUAGAUAGAGCAGUGAUCAUCAAACUGUAAAGGAUUUGUGCCACCAGCGAUCUGACUUCGUAAUACAUAUAUUUGAAUAUAACCCGCUAAAAGAUUGCAAAAACCAACAUUGUGCCAAUGAAACCCCUGUAAAGCAAAAAAUAAUAAUUCCUAAACAAAAGAAAAUGAACAAAAAGCUAUGCUAAAUCAGUAUAGUUAACUUUAAAAAUGAUUAAAUUUGUUUCAUUAAAGAACAUUUAGUUCUGACAAGUUUGAUGUAAGGUACACCGGGACAAGUUGAAACAACGGGUUAACGUGAUGUUAUCCAACGAUGGUGACCAGAUCAAAUGACAUAACACAUAGUUUUUAAUUCAAACAAUCUUUUGGCGAAAGACAAAUUUCUAGAAAGUAUUGAAAACUAUUUCAAAACUUCGCGUUUCAUCUUGCCCCACCCGUUUCAACUUGCCCCGGUGUACCUUAAGUUUUCUCUCAACACUGAAUUUUGUGUUCCAUGACAAAUUUACCUUUGGAUUUCCUUUGAAAUCUUAAUCCUGAAAAUUUUGAAAAUAUUUUGAAAGUAAUUUAAUACUACUAUAAAUAUCCUAUAUAUGUUUGACAUUGUUAUAACAUGAUUUUUACUUUAAUUUUUAAACUUUGUAACUCUAUAUACACUAAAUUACCAAAUUUACCACAGUAACUUAGUUCGUUACGAAGGCAUAAGUUUCUACAAAAUAAAUAUAUUAUGUUCUAAACGAAGAAUUUAGAUAAGGCUCUAGGAGCCUAUUGUGGCCCGCAUAGACAGUAAGCCUGAGGAAUUGAAAAAAAUGAAGUGAUUAUAUUGCGCAUUUCCCACCCACUGGACCCCUUUCGCAGUUAGUAUAAGUGCGGGAUCGUGAAUAAAACUGCGAUUUUGCAUCGAAUCGUGUCGGUGUCUUCUGCGAACUUAUGCAUUACAAGGUGCUGAACAAGUGCGCAGAACCGAAACGCCAUCAAAUACUGUUCAUAUUUAUUUGCACAAUUUUUAUGUUCAAAUAAAAAAAAAACUCGAUUUUUUUGUACAACACUUUAACUGCGGAACGUUUUAAAGAACUAGAUCAAACUUAACAUAAAUGCUAUAACUAAUCGGCAAAGAAAAAUGUGAAACAGUGUUUUAAUUAUUUGAUAACUUAAUAACAUUUGAACUGGUUGAAGAGACAUUUAUGUAAAUCAUAUUUCAGCGUCUUGUAAAUCUCAUCGAGAAACAAUUGCUAUUAAUCAACCAGCUCACAGAGAAAAAUCCCGCAGAUCAGCUAUUACAACAUGAGCAGAAAUUGAAGAAUAUGCUGCAGGAAAUUUACAACAGUGACGAAGAGGUGUGUCCCAAUCAGGAACACUUUGUUCUAUUAACCAAGGUAAAAUUUCAAAUAUUACUAUUCACACGAUAUUCACCAAUAGUGUGCCAAAUGAAAACAUUUAAACUUUAUAAUCUAUCAUGUUUCAGGAACACAAUAUCCAACAACUAGCUGUAAGUAAAAACAAAAAUUAAAUAUUUUGUUCAAAUGAACAAUGUUAUUAUCUUCUACAGCGCGCUAGAGUGCUGGAAGAUCUAAUGAAAGAGUUGCAUAUUUAUGUGGACAGCAUUGAAGAAACUCCACCAACCCGGAUGGUAACAUCCUUUUUAUUAUAUAUUUAUUUUUGUAAUUUUAUGUCAUUAUCUUUACUAUACUAAAAAUGUAUAUUCUAUAACCAAGCAAAAGCAUUAGAAAUUAAUUAACUGCCGUAACUAUCACUUAUGCUCAAAAAUUAGUCUUAUGAGUAAAACAAGCGUUAUUCUAUGCAUUCAAUUCUCCAUUAAUAUGAACCUUAUAUGAUCCUGGAAAAGCAUACCAUAUUAAAAAGAAGAAAAAAGUAUUGUUUUUGCAAGGUUUAAUUAAUUACUCAAAGUUUUCACUUAUAAUUGUAAAUUUUGAUUAAUUAUUUAAUUGAUAAAGGUGAGUGAGUUGUAUUAAUGACUAAUGAUGAAAUUCUCAAAUAAUGUGAUCAAUAAUAACGUAUUAAAAUUAGUAAUUUUAACCAUUGAUCAUAAUAAAUUUACAAUUCAUUAAUAAACCUUUCAAACUAACACUACUAAAUGUUGAUGUUGAAUCAACCCUACUAAGAGCCGAUGAUGCAAAAUGCCGUUGUUCACUUGAAGAAUCCAUUAAAACCCAAUUUAAUUCAUAACCAUGGAUUAUUAAAAAACAAUAGUAUUUUGCUUAAUAUGGUUAAUGGGUGUGAAAAUGUUUUAGAAACGUGAAAUUUAUUCAUUAUUUCAUUGUUUUGCAGUCGAAGCAUAUGUUCUUGAUAAAGGCGAAACAAUAUCAGCUUCUGCAAAAAAGCAAAAACAUAUUGAAGUCGAAACGCAAUCCAACAGCUAAAGGUAAAAUUACAGUAAAACGUAAAAAAUUCAUUCAACAUGUAAUUUUUUUUCUAGCUAACAUUCGGCAAAAAAUUUACGAGACGCAUAUGAGUGCUGUGGAAGCGCUUGAAGAGCUGCUGCGACGUUAAUUAAAAAAAUCUCCAGAACUUUUUGUCGUUUGUUUUUUCAUUAGUUGAAGCUUUCAUUAUUAAAAAUUAAACAAAACGGAAUUGUGCUUUUGUUUGUUGUCAAAAUUGGAAAUUCUCUUAACUUACAGAAGUGUUGAGCAUAUCCAUGGAAUAUUGGACGAAAUAGUGCUCAUUGACCGAUGUAAAUUAAAAAUAUUCAAUAUUGUUUG